CAGCCAAUGCCACGACUGUCAUGGUCUAAAAAUCCGAUAGCUGGAUAAUCCGAUAGUUCAUGACAGUGGUACAUUGUCUACU
rnacentral:pre_miRNA from 1 species